AAAAAAUGUGUCUGAAAUAUGUCCAAUUUUCAACCUGAUAUACUGAUUGUAUUUGAGUGCCUAUUAACUUCACUACAGUACAGAUUAGUUGACGGUAUUC